rnacentral:rRNA from 1 species
GCCAGACUCCUACGGGAGGCAGCAGUGGGGAAUAUUGCACAAUGGGCGCAGGCCUGAUGCAGCCAUGCCGCGUGUAUGAAGAAGGCCUUCGGGUUGUAAAGUACUUUCAGUCAGGAGGAAGGUGGUAAGGUUAAUAACCUUAUCAAUUGACGUUACCGACAGAAGAAGCACCGGCUAACUCCGUGCCAGCAGCCGCGGUAAUACGGAGGGUGCAAGCGUUAAUCGGAAUUACUGGGCGUAAAGCGCACGCGGGCGGUCUGUCAAGUCGGAUGUAAAAUCCCCGGGCUCAACCUGGGAACUGCAUGCGAAACUGGCAGGCUGGAGUCUUGUAGAGGGGGGUAGAAUUCCAGGUGUAGCGGUGAAAUGCGGAGAGAUCUGGAGGAAUACCGGUGGCGAAGGCGGCCCCCUGGACAAAGACUGACGCUCAGGUGCGAAAGCGUGGGGAGCAAACAGGAAUAGAUACCCCAGUA